AGAGUUUGAUCAUGGCUCAGAUUGAACGCUGGCGGCAUGCCUUACACAUGCAAGUCGAACGGCAGCGGGGACUUCGGUCCGCCGGCGAGUGGCGAACGGGUGAGUAAUGUAUCGGAACGUACCUUUCAGUGGGGGAUAACGUAGCGAAAGUUACGCUAAUACCGCAUAUUCUGUGCGCAGGAAAGCAGGGGAUCGCAAGACCUUGCGCUGAUUGAGCGGCCGAUAUCAGAUUAGCUAGUUGGUGGGUAAAGGCCUACCAAGGCGACGAUCUGUAGCGGGUCUGAGAGGAUGAUCCGCCACACUGGAACUGAGACACGGUCCAGACUCCUACGGGAGGCAGCAGUGGGGAAUUUUGGACAAUGGGCGCAAGCCUGAUCCAGCCAUGCCGCGUGAGUGAAGAAGGCCUUCGGGUUGUAAAGCUCUUUCGGUGGGGAAGAAAUUGCUUCGGUUAAUACCUGGAGUAGAUGACGGUACCCGCAUAAGAAGCACCGGCUAACUACGUG
rnacentral:rRNA from 1 species